rfam:Candidatus Azambacteria bacterium RIFCSPLOWO2_02_FTLL_44_14 rifcsplowo2_02_scaffold_3833, whole genome shotgun sequence.
GGGCGAGUGGCGGAACUGGUAUACGCGCAGCACUUAAAAUGCUGUGAGCUAAAUGCUCUUGAGGGUUCGAGUCCCUCCUCGCCCA